rnacentral:sRNA from 1 species
GCUGGGUGAGGUGGCACACACCUGCAAUCCCAGUGGCUUGGGAGGCUGAGGCAAGAGGAUCUCAAGUUCAAAGCCAGCCUUAGCCAAUUAGGCCCUAAGCAACUCAAUGAGACCCUGUCUCUU